AGAAUGAACGCUGGCGGCAUGCCUAACACAUGCAAGUCGAACGAAGGCUUCGGCCUUAGUGGCGCACGGGUGCGUAACGCGUGGGAAUCUGCCCUUGGGUUCGGAAUAACUCGGAGAAAUCCGUGCUAAUACCGGAUGAUGACGUAAGUCCAAAGAGUUUAUCGCCCAAGGAUGAGCCCGCGUAGGAUUAGCGUAGUUGGUGAGGUAAAGGCUCACCAAGGCGACGAUCCUUAGCUGGUCUGAGAGGAUGAUCAGCCACACUGGGACUGAGACACGGCCCAGACUCCUACGGGAGGCAGCAGUGGGGAAUAUUGGAUAAGUGGGACGAAAGCCGUAGAAUCCAGCAAUGCCGCGUGAGUGAUAGAAGGUCCGUUAGGGUUAGUAAAGCGUCCGUUUUAACCCGGAUAGAAGUAAUGAACGACGUAACGGGUAAGAAA
rnacentral:rRNA from 1 species